GGGCGCAUAGCUCAGCGGGAGAGCACCUGCCUUACAAGCAGGGGGUCGCAGGUUCGAACCCUGCUGCGCCCACCA
rnacentral:tRNA from 2 species